AACGAACGCUGGCGGCAUGCCUAACACAUGCAAGUCGAACGAGACCUUCGGGUCUAGUGGCGCACGUGUGCGUAACGCGUGGGAACCUGCCCUUAGGUUCGGAAUAACUCCCCGAAAGGGGUGCUAAUACCGGAUAAUGUCUUCGGACCAAAGAUUUAUCGCCUUUGGAUGGGCCCGCGUUGGAUUAGCUAGUUGGUAGGGUAAAAGCCUACCAAGGCGACGAUCCAUAGCUGGUCUGAGAGGAUGAUACGCCACACUGGGACUGAGACACGGCCCAGACUCCUACGGGAGGCAGCAGUGGGGAAUAUUGGACAAUGGGCGAAAGUCUGAUCCAGCAAUGCCGCGUGAGUGAUGAAGGCCUUAGGGUUGUAAAGCUCUUUUACCCGGGAUGAUAAUGACAGUACCGGGAGAAUAAGCUCCGGCUAACUCCGUG
rnacentral:rRNA from 1 species